ACAGUACAAACUGAACAGGCAAUACCCUUUCGAAGAGAAAGGAUAUGUGGCCGGGUCGUGAAAACGGCAGCAGAAGUAACUCUUCGUACAUCUGCGGGACAGUA
rnacentral:ncRNA from 1 species